UGCGGCGUGAAAACAACAAGUAUGCCGGCUCACUGUGCUGCAUACAGUUACACACUACGUUGUACGAUUGAGACAAGGAAACUUGGAAUGACUUUUCAUAGGUUUCCCAGAGACUAUGGGUUGAGGAGGAAUUGGAAGUUUGUCGGCUUAGACCUGGUGUCAUUCCAUCAGUGUUAAACUUCCCGGCUCAUCUUGGAAGAGUACGUGCCAGAAAGACCACGACCAAGCAGCCUUGAGAUCUUAGGCAGCGUCUCCCUGAGGUCCCUCUCUAUCUCCCCACAUAUCCACCAACCACUGGAACACAUCUCCAAAGUUCUGCCAGGCCAGCUCAGCUUCCUCUCAGAAGAAGUGCCGCCACCUGCCAGAUGAAGGAGCCUUUUGAGAGGCAGCUGGCAUCGUGAUUGGACUGUACUUUGGUCUGUUCCAAUCCAGCUUCAGCUCCAGAGACGGCAGGCGGGACGAGUCAACGGAGGCCGGGUGGACGAAGGCAUGCAGCUGAGUACAAUCCAGAAAACAACAGAGGAGGAGUGCAGUGGCCCAGAGCCAGAACAAGCAGAGUAGCAUGACCAAAGAACUACAGACUCUUCACAACCUGCUCAAACUCUUGGUACAGGACCUCACCACACGGGUCAAGAAGGUUUCCGUCUCAUUUCUACUCUGAAGCUCACCUUCUCCUGCUCAAACUGCUGACAAAUGUUUCUGCUGCUCUAAAGUCUGGUCUCCAGAACUUCCUAAAAACUCUCAAAGUCUCUUCUGCUGCAGGUUGCUUUGUAGAACUGUUCCAGAAAAUCUCACUAAACCACAUGGAGGGGCCUCAAGAUAGUCGUCCAAAUGAAACCUUACAAAAACCAAACUAGCACAACCCAAACACUAAAGUCUCCUGCAGCCUACCAGAGAACCUCUGAGAACAGAGAAUCAGGACAGGAACUCUUACCUUCUGGACAACCAACCUUGGUUCACAAACAAGAAUACAGAAUGUGUCUGACCAAAAACCUCUGAAGACUCACUACAGCCAAGAUAAAGACACAACUCAGCUGUACCAAAUCCACUAAUCACUGCACACAUUAGCACCAUGUGCUAACUGUGGCUAAAGAACCUCAUUUACCAAGACAACUAUCCAGUACAAAGCCCUAAAACACACCAAGAAACACAUUAAAGAUGAUUUUACUGCUGGAAGCUGCAAGCCAACGCCUGAAGAACAAACCAAAGCAAUGGAGCCAAACCUCAGUGGUGAAGAGAAGCAGAGGAAAUGUUUGUCUGCAGCUAAAUAAAGCAGGAAGACACUGAGCUGCUCAGGUGUUCCUGAUAACACCAAGCAGCCACCUGGACAGCCAAUAGGAACACAGCUUCCUGGAAGUCCAGAGGGCUGGGUUAGUGAAGGAAAUUUAAUUUAAAGUUGAAGCAGAAAGUUAACAAAGAAAGUUGAAAACCACCUUCUGAUACCUGAAAUCUCUGAGUUUUCACACAAAGAACACCUGAACAUGUCAAACUGGUUCCAUAGUAGAACCAUCAUUGUAAAAACGUCAUAGUAUGGUGUGUUGCUCAAAAAACAUUAGGACCCGGCUGUCAGGGGACAAACAUGUAAGAAACAUGAGAACAGAGAGAACCCAACCAGUAGGUCACAGUUUAUCAUCAUCUAAUCAUCUCCUGAAGUCCAUAUGGUGAGAGACAUCAGUAUCUGGUUGUUCAUUUACCAGAGGAUGCUUAUAAUCAUGCUGAUGUGGUCUGUACUCUACAGUAUUUUAGUGACUCAAUAAAUGCCUAAGUUGUUUUUUUUAAAAUGCUUUUUAGUUUUUAAUAAACAUUUAACAGCCUAUAUGUGAUCAAUAAAUGACCUUUGCCUAUCUUAAGAAAAACUCACUCAGAACUCUGAUAUGUUAACAGUACUAAAUAAAUCAAUAAAUACAUGCAUACACACAUAAAUAAGUUAAUACAUUAACUGUGUUAAGAUAAGAUUUAGAUUUUUUAAAAAAGUUGUUUAUGUUUUUGCAGAAUCCAGUAUUGCUCACUGGUUGGUCAUUACAUUUUGUUAGUUUGAUUUCACUGUUUAAAAUGAUGCCACCUCUUUUCAGACA